ACCAGGCGCGAUGGCACGUGCCUGUAGUCCCAGCUACUUGGGAGGCUGAGGUGGGAGGACUGCUUGAGCCCAGGAGUUCUGGGCUGUAGUGCGCUAUGCUGAUCGGGUGUCCGAACUAAGUUCGGCAUUCAAUACGGUGACCUCCCAGGAAGGGGGGACCACCAGGUUGCCUAAGGAGGGGUGAACCAGCCCAGGUCAGAAACAGAGCAGGUCAAAACUCCUGUGCUGAUCAGUAGUGGGAUUGCGCCUGUGAAAGCCACUGCACUCCAGCCUGGGCAACAUAGCUAGACCCCAUCUCA
rnacentral:SRP_RNA from 1 species